rnacentral:rRNA from 1 species
UGAGGAAUAUUGGUCAAUGGAAGGAAUUCUGAACCAGCCAUGCCGCGUGCAGGAAGACGGCUCUAUGAGUUGUAAACUGCUUUUGUACGAGGGUAAACUUGGGUACGUGUACCCAACUGAAAGUAUCGUACGAAUAAGGAUCGGCUAACUCCGUGCCAGCAGCCGCGGUAAUACGGAGGAUCCGAGCGUUAUCCGGAUUUAUUGGGUUUAAAGGGUGCGUAGGUUGUUUUAUAAGUUAGAGGUGAAAUCUCAACGCUCAACGUUGGAACUGCCUCUGAUACUGUAGGACUAGAGACCAGUUGCAGAAGGCGGAAUGUGUGGUGUAGCGGUGAAAUGCUUAGAUAUCACACAGAACACCGAUUGCGAAGGCAGCUUUCUAAGCUGGUUCUGACACUGAUGCACGAAAGCGUGGGGAGCAAACA